rnacentral:tRNA from 2 species
GCGAGGGUAGCCAAGCGGCCAACGGCGACGGACUCAAGAUCCGUUCGUGUAGACGUUCGUGGGUUCAAUUCCCUCCCCUCGCA